GGUUAAAAACACUGAAGAUUGCAUAAAGAUCAAAGAGGGAAAUUUAAGGGAAUUAAUGGGUUAUGAUUGCAUUUGUUCAGAAUGGUUUUGGUGGCUCAUGACAACAUUUUGAGAGAGAGAGAUUUUAAUGGCACCAAUGGCAGCUAGGAUAACUAGUUUAAAGUUUAGGGCCUGUGUUAAUAGAUUUUGCUUUCUAGUUUCAGAAAGAUUCUCUUAUAGUACUGUUUUAAUCUGUUUUUCUAAGCCCUCUGAUUUAUGUAUAUUUAAUAGGCCACAAAAUAAUGUCAAAUAUAUGGCAUAAUAACCAACAAAUAUUUGAAUAAGUGAAAGGUACUCUACAAAAUGCUAUGGGAAAGACAAAAAUAAAUAAUAUCCCUUUCUUUGAGGGAUUAACAGUGUUAAUAUCCCUUGUUUUCAUUUGAUUUGAAAUGCCACUUGCAAGUGGAAUAUGCAGACUAAAUGGUAAAGAGAAAAACAAGCAGCAUCUUUUCAUUUCACUUACAGCUCACUGUAUGACCAAUAAUAUGUUACUUGACCUCUCAGCACUCCAUUCUAAAUCCUUAAAUGAUACUUAUUUAGCAUUUCUAAGCAUCUUGAGAUCUCCUCUUAAAAUAUGCUUUGAACUAUUCAGUCUAAAUGCUGCUUUCUAAAAAGCUACUAGUUUAAAGAAUGGGAAAUGGUGUUAAUGGAGUUAAUCUUGUGUAAUUUCAGUGUGGGUUGUCAAGAAUACCUCUAAGUAAAGAAAAUGACUCUAAUCUUCUUAAGCAAUUCAUUUUCUCAGCAACUUUGAGGCAGGAGUUAAUUUACUCUGCCUGUGUACAUAGGCCAUCUCUUACAAAAGAAAAAUUUUACUAUGGAAAGAAGUCAGAAUAGCCAUGAAAUUAUUUAAAUUUAGUCUUUAGAACAUAUUACAAAAUAUAAGAUAUAUUAAAUUGUCUUUUUUGUUAGAAACUCAACUACCAAUGUAGAAAUAAAACUCCUGUUGCAAGGAUGGAGUUUAGCCAUGGAGUCAAAACAAGAGCUAUUUGGUUAUUUUAAAAGAGAAGAGAUCAAAGAGCUGGUCACUCCUUAACUAAGGGUGUUUGGGCAGCAGGAUAGGGUGAAGAGUGGAGGGGGUUGAACUCAAUUCUUUAUGCUUUUAUACCAAGCCUCCCUUUUCUAAUAAGCCUUACUGGCAUUUCCUUAGACUAGUUAAGUCAGGAUUCUGAGUUUUUCAGUACAAUAGGGUUUUAAUCUGAGCUGAUCAUUGUUUCCAAUGCCUCCCCUGUGGCAGGGGAACAUAAAGGACUAGUGUUCUUUUCUAAAAAGGGAAGAUGGAUAUUUUUUCUAUAACCUUUAUAAUUCCAUUAUAAUAAAAUGAAUGAUAGGUUAUAAUAAAAUGAAUUUUUUGCAUAUGAUUUUCAAAAGGAAACUAAUUUAUUUUUCUAUAAAAUAUCGCAAAGGAAUCGAAUACAUUUUUAUUCUAUGUAAAUAAUAAUAUAAUUUUCACAUUUAGGAGGCAAUAGCAAAUCUGGGAAGCAGUUAUUCUAAGUUGGAAGAGCAUUAUCCCAAUGCAUUGAAAACAUUUGAUGACUAUUUUUUAUGUCUUCUUUAUUUUGAUGAUUAUAAUAAUGUUCUAACUGGGUGGCCUUCGUUUUUCACUCUAGUCAGUCCAUCUUGUUUACUAUGUCAAUUGUUCUCCAAAAAGUAGAAAUGUCAUUGUUUUGGGGCCAUAGAACAUUUCAGAAGCUUUCCAGUAUCUAUGCAGUAACAGUCCAAACCCCUCAACAUAACACAUUUACACCUGCAAGUAUGGCCCCAAAUCUUCAAGUGGCUUCUGUCACUACUCCAUAGUACAUACCCUUUGUUACAGCUGUUUCACAAAUACAGGUUGAAUAUCCCUUAUCUAAAAUGUUUGGGACUAAAAGUUUCAGAUUUCAGAUAUGUUUGGAUUUUGGAAUAUUUGUACAUGUAUAAUGAGAUACUCUUAGAGUUGGGACCCAAGUCUAAACAAAAUUCAUUUAUGUUUCAUAUAUACCUUAUACACAUAACCUGAAGGUAAUUUAUUUUUCCCUUGGGAACACUGAAUAGACUAUAUGUUGUGCACCUACAUUUUGACUGUGACCUAUCACAUGAAGUCAGGUGUGGAAUUUUCCAUUUGUGGCAUCAUGUCAGUACUCAAAAAGUUUUGGAUUUUGGAUUUUGAAUUUUCAGAUUAGAGAUGCUCAGCCUAAUAGCAAAUGUUCCCAUGUUAUACACCUCAACCUCCCAUUCCCAUUGGCUGGAACAUCUCUGCUUAUAUUAAAUGUCUUUUAUGUGAAAUCUGUGUUCUCAUAGCCUUUUGUAUAGUUCUCUACCAUCUCAUGGCUCACAUUGUAUUGUACUUAUUUGAUUAAAUAUCUGGAUCAUCUACUGUGAAUUAUUCAAGAGCAUUGAUCUUUAUACCUCUGGCACCUAUCAGUGCCUGACAUAUAACAGGGUUAAAAAUGCUGAGUGAAUACUGCAAAUAUACCUUAGCAAAUUUAUUUGCUGAAUACACAUCUCAAGAAAGUUCUGAAAUAGUUAUUUCCCCUCAUAGAAAGUUUAGAGUAUUAAAAUUGGGUAUCUUUAUAAUGCUUUUUCUUUUGUAAUACUUUCAUCUUUGCCUUUUAUUGAAAUAUUAAAUGCAUUGUAGAAUUUGAUUUAAAAUUUAGAACAAGCUGUCAGGUAUGAUAACUAGUCUCAUUUAACAAAUGAGGAUUCCAGGGCUUGAAGAAGUUAAGUAGCUUCCUCUAGAUUGUAAAGAGAGUCUAACCUGGCCCUUUUUGGUUUUAAGGGCAUGAUGAUAACCACUUGCUCUACUGAUUUCUAAUGGAAAGUGCUUCAGUUUUCCACUUUGCCUAGCUAGUGAUUAUUUAAUAUCUGCUUAUCUCUGAAUUUAUCUGCAUAUUUCUAAAACUUUAUGACAUUAAGGAAAGUUGGGGAAAAUUCACUUUAAGUGUUGUAAUGACAAUAGCUAUCAAUCAUUGAGUACUGUGUACUAAGCAUUUUAUAUUUUAUCAACAAGUACUUACAUGUGGGAUAAGUACUGUUAUUAUUUUCAUUUUAUAGAUGAGGACACAUAUAGAAUGCAGUUAGGAAACUAGAGAAAGAGAAAACAUGGAGAAUUAUCUGGAACUAAUAAGACAGUAAAGUACAGAUUUAAGAAGUUCAGUGAAUCCCAAGCAGUGUAAAUUAAAAAACUACAUUGAGAUACAUCAUAGUGAAUAUGCAAAACAUCAAUAAUAAAAAGAAAAACCUUAAAGGCAGCUUUAACAGUAUACUGAAUGACCAAUAUACUCAGCAGCCACAGAACCUCUAUUCUUUUAAAGCAUCCAUGGGACAUUUAUAGAAAUUGACUAUGCACUGGACUAUAAGCAUAUGCAAUAAAAUUUCAAAUGACUGAAACCAUAUGAGUAUAUUCUUUUGCCACAACACAAUUAGGCUAGAAAUGAACAACAAAAAGAUAACAGGAAAAUCUCUAUAUAUCAGAAAUUAAGAGAUGCACUUAUUUAUUUUUUGUUUUUUGUGAUGGAGUCUCACUCUAUCACCCGUGCAGUGGCACGAUCUUGGCUCACUGCAACCUCUGCCUCUUGGGUUCAAGUGAUUCUCCUGUAUCAGCCUCCCAAGGAGCUAGGAUUACAGGCGUGUGCCACCAUACCCAGCUAAUUUUUGUAUUUUUAUUAGAGAUGGGAUUUCACCAUGUUGGCCAUGCUGGUCUCAAACUCCUGACCUCAAAUGAUCUGCCAGCCUCAGCCUCCCAAAAUGCUGGGAUUACAGAUGAAGAGAUACACUUCUAAGUAAUCUAUAUGUCAAGUAAGACAAAAUGAAAUUAGAAAAUAUUUUUAAGUCAAUGAUAUUAAACCAUACUACACAUCAAAACUUGUGGGAUGCACUUAAAGCAGCAUGUAGAGGGAGAUUAUAUUCAUAAAUGCUUAUGGUAGAAAAGAAGGAAGUCUGUACAUUAUGUAGCUAUGCACCCAUCUAAAGAAGUUAGGAAAAUGACAUCAAGUAGAACAUCAAAAGAAAGAAGGAAAGGAUAACUUAAAACAGAAAUGAAUGAAAUAAAACCAGAAUAGAAGAGACGAUCUACAAAUCCAAAAGUUGGUUUGUUGAAAAUACUAGUAGAGCUGACAUACUUGUGGUGAGACUGAUGGAAAUAAUGCAGUUACAACUAACCAAUAUCAUAAUUGGAAAGGAAAUCACUAUAGGUGCUGUAAAAAUUAAAAAGAUAAUAGAAUAUUAUGAACAAUUUUCUGCCAAUAUUAUUGAAAGUUUAGAUAAAAUGGAAAAUUCAUUUAAAAAUAUAAUUUGACAGUAUUAUGUUAUGUGAAUACUAUAAUGAUAAUCCUGUAAUCAUUAAAUGAACCAGUAGUUUAAAAUUUUUCCAUAUAGGGAAGGUCAGGGCCAGAUGUGUUCAAUGGUUGGUUCUACUAGACAUUCAAAAAAAUAAUAAUUCAAGUCUACACAAACUUUCCUGAGAUUAGAAAAAAUAAAGAAGAGUCCCCCCACCUGUUUCUUACUUUAUGAGACCACACCUAAAAGAUAGAAGACUGCUUUGCAACCAAGAAAUCCUUCAUGAACACCUCUUUAAUCACAAGUCCUCAACUCCAAGGUUAGCUUUAUUUCAACUUUUAUAAUACUUUUCUUACUUUUCUUGAUAGCUUUACCACCCAUGUAUUCAUUCCUAAAAAAUACACAGUUUUGUCUGAUUUUGAAUUUUAUGUGAAUGGAAUUGUACAUAUCUGUGUUUGUGUCUUCCUUGUUUUACUCAAUACUGUUUCUGAGAUCAAUCACAUUAUUUGUUAAUAUUUUGUUUAGGAUUUUUGCAUCUCUAUUUCAGUGUGUGUUUGGAAUGUAAAUUUCCAUUCUCAGACUAUCUUUUGGCCUGAAUUUGGUUACAUGAGUAUAUGUUCUAAAAAUAUUACUUACACUUUCAAUAAAUUUUAAGGACUUUUAUAUUGUUAUGUAUCAAAUUUUUUAGAAUGCAAGAAUAAAUAUUAUAAAACAU
rnacentral:lncRNA from 1 species